GAUGAACGCUGGCGGCGUGCCUAAUACAUGCAAGUCGAGCGAACGGACGAGAAGCUUGCUUCUCUGAUGUUAGCGGCGGACGGGUGAGUAACACGUGGAUAACCUACCUAUAAGACUGGGAUAACUUCGGGAAACCGUAGCUAAUACCGGAUAAUAUUUCGCACCUCAUGGUUCAAAAGUGAAAGACGGUCUUGCUGUCACUUAUAGAUGGAUCCGCGCUGCAUUAGCUAGUUGGUAAGGUAACGGCUUACCAAGGCAACGAUGCAUAGCCGACCUGAGAGGGUGAAGGGCCAGACUGGAAGUGAGAAACGGUCCAGACUCCGAGGGGAGGAAGCAGUAGGGAAUCUUCCGCAAAGGGCGAAAGCCUGACGGAGCAACGCCGCGUGAGUGAUGAAGGUCUUCGGAUCGUAAAACUCUGUUAUUAGUGAAGAACAUAUGUGUAAGUAACUGUGCACAUCUUGACGGUACCUAAUCAGAAAGCCACGGCUAACUACGUG
rnacentral:rRNA from 1 species